ACGCCCACUUUCAAGGAAAUGCCAGUUUUUGGACAAACACGUCGAUAUUGCACUGUUUUUCUCGCGAUAAGGUAAAUUACAAAAUUAACCACUUAUACGACAGUUUUAUAGUAACUUAUUGAUGUAUGUUAUGUUGUUGAUUUAAACACGUUUUUACGGCAUUAUAAGAGCUGAAAACACGUUUUAUUUUUGGGGUAGAAACACGUGGUUUCGUUGUCAUUACUUUGUUUUAAUAGCUGAAUUCUUUGUGAUUAUUAAUUAUGAUGCGACUAAAAAUGUCUGGUAUUAUCCAUAUUUAAUUCGCCAGUGAUUUUGUUGUGGUUAAAUUAUAUUUAUCUGUUUUGUAUCAGCGAGGUUAAGUUAGUUUUGUUUUUGAUAUUCCAGACACGUUCGGCGAUUACUCUUAAACGGCUUAGAAAUUAUUUUCCAAAACAGUAUUACUGUAAAACAUGGAAAGCUAAUCAAAUUCUUAAAGCUUGUUUUCAUCAUUUUCACUCGAUGUUAUGAGCAUUUGUAAUGUGAGUUACCCCGGAAAGAGUUCCUCCUGUCGCAGCGGUAAGUAAGGGACCGUGGAGAAAGUGCAAUUCUUGAAGUGUUAAAAUACUCCAUCAUUCUCUUCACUCAUGGAGAUCAGUUAGAAGAUAAGUCCAUAGAGAAACUCAUUGAGGAGAACAGUAAAUUAAGAUCUCUAGUUGAUCAGUGUGGAGGCAGAUAUCAUGUGUUUAAUAAUAAAGAUCAGAAUAACAGAGAUCAGGUGACUGAACUACUGCAGAAGAUUGACACAAUGAUAGAUCAGAAUGGAGGAGGACAUUACACUAAUCAGAUGUAUCAAGAUGCUCUGAGAUUUAAACAAGAGGAGGAAGAAGGAGAGAAAAAUACAAGAGGAGACUGAAAGAGUGAAGGAGAGAGAAGAACAGUUUAAAUUACAUACACCUCAGCUGAGGUCUGAAUUAGAAAGAAAUAAAGAGAGCAAAUGGAGAGAGGAAGAGAUGGAAGUAAGAAGGGCCAAGACAGACAAUGAAAAGUACAAUUGUGCCAUACUUUGAGCUCUAUAGCCAAAAUGUACUUAGCGCUGUAACCGGUCCUGCUCAACUCGCUCCAAGCAGGAAUCGAACCAGCGUCUCCGGCAUGGGAAGUGGGCGUGCUAACAAGGAGGCUAAAAGCUACACCCUUUAGCAUCAGUCGCAAGUGCACCUCUUGAGGCCAGGGCAGUGUGGUUUACACACACUGCACAGAUAUCACGUACCAGCCGGCUCCCAUUACAUCAGGAACAGAACAUUAUAAAACACCUGCAGGACAUCUGAAAAUGAACAACUGACAUCCAACAGACAGCACGAGUGGAGACAACAUUGCAGCAGACCUCCAGAACAUCCAGAAAACAUGAAGAAGAUAGAAGAGGAAAGCAGACUGUGUACCUCGAGCAUUGAACAAGAUAUCUUUUAUUGACACAAUGAGAUCCUCAUGGCACACAGAGAUCUUUGUCAGGUUGUUCAUCUGUUAUUGUUUACAAGAAAGCAUGAUUGAUCAAGAUUGAAUCACACUUUUGUGGAUUGUUUAAUCCCAAUUCAAACAGAGUUAUUGUUCUCACUUCUGUGUUUGAAAAGGAAUGGGACUUUUUGUCUGGAUUGUUUGCUUUUUCUGUUUUCUCACCUGUCAUUUGUUUGUCAGGUCUUGUUUUAUUGUGAUCUACAUGGGUGUAGUAUUUCCAGUUUUUUAGUAAAAGCUCUGCUCUUGGGUGCAAAAUCAUUUAGAGUCCAUAUUUGUUACUGAGGAGAGUGUUAAUCCUUUGGGACAAUCCUCCUAAAAUAAACAUGAAAACCCCUUAAAUCGACAGUCUUGUAAGAAAAUGCAGUCAGUCUAUGUGAAUUUCACUCAACCCAAUUUGUUAAGGUACACCACCUAAACCCAGACCACUUAAUUAACAUAGAGACCGUUGUGUAACUGCAUAAGUUAUCACGUUCUCAAAGACAUCAAUCAAUUAUAGCAUCAGAGCGGCAAUGAGCCAGCGAGAACAAUCCUGGAGAAACGGGAACCAAACAUUUACACUGGGAAUGUAACUUCAUUUACAUCAAAAGCAAAGACUCAUUUACUUUAUGAGCAGCAAGCCAUAAAGGUUUGAGUUUAGAAAGUUCAUUGUUCAGUCUGAAUCUGAUCCAAAAUGCCCACUGCAAAACUGCAAUAAAGACUUCAUUGCAAGAUCGCCUGAGGUUGAUAAAUGAAGAAUAUGUCCAGCAGAUGAAUGUGCUGUAUGACUGACUGUAUGAGACACAUUUACUGUACCAAUAAACACUGUUUAAAUACAGAUUUGAACUCAAACAGGGGAUGGGAACUUUCUGGAAAAAAGUUGAUUAUUAGUGUGCCAUAGCAGCUCCACACACAUUUGAACACAUGGGUGUGUCUUCAACUUCAGGCACUUUAAUCACUGUGAACGUCUAGAUAAUAAAGUCACAUGAUCAAAACAUUUUUCACUGUCUCACUAGAAUAAUUUCAUAGCUGACAUUUGAUGAGUACUCAAUACACAUCAUAUUUUCACACUUUUGUAAUGCUUAAUGGAUUAUUAAUGCCUUGAUUAUUCUUUAUUUUGUCUCAUAUUUCAUGCUCUUCACUUGGUUAAAAAAAUAGUGUACUUGUUAGACGUAAAAUUGUUAGGUGUGCUAGAAAUGACGCCUCAACUGUGGGACAAAAUUGAUAUAAAUCAUUUUCACACAAUAAAUAUUGAAAUGUUUUGUGUUUAUUUCACUCUUUGUUUAGAUGAUUAUAGUUUUAAACGUUUAUUUGUAUUUUUAUAAUGUAUUUUCAUAGUUUAAUAUUGAAAGUCUCGGUCUGAAGUCUAAAACAGUCAAAUCUAUACUUAAAAGACAUUUGAAAAGUGCUACAAAUAAAUGAUGAAGAACUGGUGAAGAGUUUCCAAUUCAGUUUUAAUGAGACCUUCAUAUAAUAAAAAGAAAAGAGUUGAAGUUCACAGCCGAGACUUGCACUUGUGUGACUAUAUGAAGAAAUAUUAGUCUCCUGUUGUUAACUGCCCUUAUAAAACUACUGCUGUGGUAAUGAGAAUUAGUGUGAAUUAUUAUCGGUAAAUGACCUGUAAAUAAAGCGUGCUGUCAGAUUUAACAUGACAAAUGUUUAUUGGAUAGGAUAUUUCUAAAGAAAUAAGUAGAAAAAGAAAAGAAAUGAAAAAUGGUUGGUCAAUAUUACGAUCAAACAACAUAUUUCAAAUCAGCAAUAAAAUCUGACAACACUGAAAUCAUAAAUUGUGAUUCUUUACCUCAUAUUACGCUAAAAACGCAAUUUUCCCUGCUUGUGCAGCUAAUGCGCAUGUGCGUUCUAGAGAUGACUGACAGGCGAUGUCUGUAUCUAAAAGGUGAUUGGCUGUUUUACCUGUAAGGCGGGACUCAUCUCUGCUAAAUAAUCUCUGAUUCUGCCUUGAAUCAGUGCAACAAAGUUUCGAUAAUUCUGCAAUCAGCUCCAAUCGCUGUUAAUCUCUGAAAGAAGGAAUUUAAUCGCUCAUUUCACAAUAUCAAAGACACCAUAUAUGAGGAAGAAUCAUUAAUAACAUUAAAAAAAAUGUGUUUAACCAGCAAGUUCUUCUGUGAGCUUUGAUCGUAAUCAAAUUCUAAUGUAGAAAAUGCUUUAUUUCGAUUUCUUUAUACAUUUGUUUCAGUGUAGAUCUUCAUCAUCUGUAUUUUAAUUAUAACUUAUUUAACUUAUAAAAGUUUUCUAUACAUUAAACACUAUAUUAAACAUAGGUGUACUGCUGAACUUUCUAAAACAUUUACUUUGUCAGAAUAUCAUGUGAGAUCUUUGUUUCAUUUCUGUGCAAAAUUCACAAUUUCAGAGUUGGAAUUUGAAUUGAAUUGGCCACGCCCCACAGGAAGUUGAAUCGGAAUGACAGGACGUAGUUUACUGAAUUAAAAUUCAAGAGUCAAAGACACAUUUUGUGAUAAAUAAUUAUGUUAGAAUAUUUGACCAAGUCUAUUUAUUCCCUAAGAGGUAGAAUUACAUUUGUUUACUUGUUUGUCUCAAAUACAUAAAUAAAUCAACAAAUAAAUACAUUAAAAAUAUAACAUAUAGCCAUCAAAAGAUUUUAUUACAAUCAACAACAACAAUGUAAAUAAAACCAGAAAAUGCAAAUGGCCAUAAAAAAACAAUAAUUCAGUAAAUGUUGUUUGAUUUGUUAUGCAUAAGACAAUGUUUCAUGUUUUCCUGAAAAAACAAAACAAAUGCAUUGUUAAAAACCAAACUUCAUGAACAGUUAUGAAUUUCAUUCCACUUUAAUUCUACUUCCACAAUGUACAUUCAAACUGCAAUUCUGCAUACUUGGUAUUUUUCAUUGAAUUCUGAAUGCUGCAUAGACAGUGUUUUAUCAUUUUGCUUUUGGUCUUUGUCAGACACAAUAAGUGGACAGUCACAGCCGUCACCUGAGAAAGGAGACAUAUGUGAGUAUUUUUCAAGAUGUGGAAUGAUUAAUCAACUGACCCUUUUUCAUUUAUUUUAUUGAUUCCUUCUUUUUAUGAUCUAAACUCUGUAAUGCUAAAGCUGGAAUGCAUUUUUGAAAUUUCUUUGGUUUUCACUGAUUUAAUAAGUCAAAUUCUUGUACACAAAUGCAACAUUCUGUAUAUUUUAAAGUAUACUACAAAAAUACCAAUUUAUAUAUACACUAUAUUGCCAAAAGUAUUCGCUCAUCUGCCUUUAGACGCAUAUGAACUUAAGUGACAUUCCAUUCUUAAUCCAUAGGGUUUAAUAUGACGUCGGCCCACCCUUUGCAGCUAUAACAGCUUCAACUCUUCUGGGAAGGCUUUCCACAAGGUUUAGGAGUGUGUUUAUGGGAAUUUUUGACCAUUCUUCCAGAAGCGCAUUUGUGAGGUCAGACACUGAUGUUGGACGAGAAGGCCUGGCUCGCAGUCUUCGCUCUAAUUCAUCCCAAAGGUGCUCUGUUGGGUUGAGGUCAAGACUCUGUGCAGGCCAGUCAAGUUCUUCCACACCAAACUCGCUCAUCCAUGUCUUUAUGGACCUUGCUUUGUGCACUGGUGCGCAGUCAUGUUGGAACAGGAAGGGGCCAUCCCCAAACUGUUCCACAAAGUUGGGAGCAUGGAAUUGUCCAAAAUCUCUUGGUAUGCUGAAGCAUUCAGAGUUCCUUUCACUGGAACUAAGGGGCCAAGCCCAGCUCCUGAAAAACAACCCCACACCAUAAUCCCCCUCCACCAAACUUCACAGUUGGCACAAUGCAGUCAGACAAGUACCGUUCUCCUGGCAACCGCCAAACCCAGACUCGUCCAUCAGAUUGCCAGAUGGAGAAGCGUGAUUCGUCACUUCAGAGAACACGUCUCCACUGCUCUAGAGUCCAGUGGCGGCGUGCUUUACACCACUGCAUCCGACGCUUUGCAUUGCACUUGGUGAUGUAUGGCUUGGAUGCAGCUGCUCGGCCAUGGAAACCCAUUCCAUGAAGCUCUCUACGCACUGUUCUUGAGCUAAUCUGAAGGCCACAUGAACUUUGGAGGUCUGUAGCGAUUGACUCUGCAGAAAGUUGGCGACCUCUUUUCUUUUUAUUAUAUGAAGGUCUCAUUAAAACUGAAUUGGAAACUCUUCACCAGUUCUUCAUCAUUUAUUUGUAGCACUUUUCAAAUGUCUUUUAAGUAUAGAUUUGACUGUUUUAGACUUCAGAUCGAGACUUUCAAUAUUAAACUAUGAAAAUACAUUAUAAAAAUACAAAUAAACGUUUAAAACUAUAAUCAUCUAAACAAAGAGUGAAAUAAACACAAAACAUUUCAAUAUUUAUUGUGUGAAAAUGAUUUAUAUCAAUUUUGUCCCACAGUUGAGGCGUCAUUUCUAGCACAACCAACACUUCUGCAGGUCCAAUUAUAUGAUAUUUUUAUUAUUUUAAGAAAGGAGUAAUUGACAACAGACGGUUGAAGGACUGAAUAUUGUGUCCGGUGUGAUCCCGGGUUUGCACUAUUUUUCAAUAAUUCAACCACGAAUGCCACGUCAAGAUAAUAUUAAUACAUAUUUUCUGGUUUUCGUCCCAGGACACUUAGUAGAGCGAUUUUUAUGCCUCUUAAUUAUUCGCCCCAAAUGAAAGAAAUGUCAUUAAGCCAUUAAAUCUCUCAGAUUUAUUCAGAAAUACAUUGAUAAAGCUGCUGAGUUUGAUAUCUCACAGAGAUUAUUUUAUAUCUAUAUCACAAAACUCUGCAGAAUUAUUAUAUUAGAGAGUGUAACGGUCAACUAGCGUGUUAUGACAUUAAGUCACCGUUCAAAUCAAUGGGAAGAGCCAUAAACUGUGUGGAAAAUUCAUUUUAUUUAUUCUCAUUAUGUUUCUUUUCAAUUAUUUCUUAUUAACUGUAAAUGAACCAAACAUGUUCAAAUGCUUAGAUAAAUAGUUUCUCUUUGACUGUGUCUUAUGAGAGCACACAGCCGAAGAGUGAAAAACAUCUUAUCAAGUGACAUGAAGAGAUUUACUGGAAAUAUUCAUACAACUGCUUUUAUUAAACAACAUUUUUAAUAACCUUUAAAACCUUUCAGCCGAGAGAUGCAAAUGAAUGUUACUAUGGAGUCUUGAGCAUGCAGAUUUUAUUAUGAGCUGGAUCAUGCUUUCUGUACAAAUUGUGAUUGAUUCUUUAUUUACUUUAUAUAAAUAUAUAAUCAUCCAUUUGCACUUAUAAAUGUCUUUAUUUGAAUGUGUUUGAAAGUGAAGUCCACGACGAUGUUAGCGUUUCAUAUUAGUGACGUCAUUACUUCAUGAUGUAGAAGAAUUGCUGAACUGCUUUUUUGUACUAAUUCACUGAAACAAACUGUCAGAAAGAAUCGAUCUUCCCAUCACUAGUGAUUUUACCAAAGUCUUUAUCUCUGUAACACAUGAACUCAAGUGACUUAUUUUUAUUUUUAUAAAAUGGCAGCAACUGUAUUAUUAAAAAUAAACAUAAUUAACAGUAAUAUAGUUCAUUAUCAUAUCUGUAGGAAUUGCUGCAUUAAUUAGGGGUGUGGCAAUCCAUCGAUCUGGAUCAAUUUAUCGAUCCAAUAACCAACAAUGUGAUGUCAUUGAUGCAACAAGUAAACACUGAUGAAUAUUGUUUAAGAUGCACCUUUAUUUUGCCAUGUCUGUACGCAUUAAUAAACAUUUAUACUGAUGAAAUAAGUGUGUUGAGAUAUCUCACG